GUUCAGCCGCCAUCUCCAUGGUCCCGCCCCGCCGGCCUCCUGGCAGGCACUUUAAAAGCAGUGGGUCCGCCAGGCGGCCCUGCCGCGCUGCCUCUGCCAUGGCCCGGCUCGAUAGGUCGGUCGUUGUUGCUGCCGGCAUCUCGGGAGGAGCGUUCGAUUCUUCCUCACGGAACGCGCCCGAAGCAGCUACAUGAACGGCUUCCAGGCGCCCCUCAGCCCACCGGGAGCCUCCCAGACCCGCUCCGGUGCUGAGCCCGCCCUGAGGAGCGAGCAGUGCUGGGCCCGGUGUGAUUUGUGCUCUCCGUGGCUCAGAGGAACGUGCAGGAUCGCUGCUGGCAAAGUUUAGGGAAGGUAGAAUAAUGAUGGUGCGCUUAAAGUGAUAUAAGUGAGUCAGUCAAAACAAUCUAUGUGUUGAGUUGAUUCGAAAUCUGUUUGAAAGUGCACAAAUAGAGAAUCAUGUAUUUGAGGGGAAACAAAAACACUUUCUGCUCUAGGUAGAUAAACAUCUGUUGUGAUUUUCAUGGUUAACGGGACAUGUUAUGAAGCCCUUUUUUACUUUGAAAAUGAGUCUUUACAGUCAAAGAAAGUGGGAUAAUACACAAUGUUAGUGAGACAAACUAUUGCAGUAACACAUCUUGUUCACAUAUGUAUUGACAGAUUAAAAAAAAGAUAAUAGGAAAAAGACAAAAAAAAAAAAAGUUUAAAAGAUUCCACGAUUUGGAAAUCUGCAAUAUUUCUUUAAUUAUCAAAACAUUAAAAAAAAAAAAAAAAUACUUGGUCAUGAUAUGAAACAACUUGGAGAUGGAAUAUUUCACUACAGACAACUGUCCUUUCACGGAUAGUUGAGGUUAAUGGCAGUUAUCUCUGGUGAAGUCAUGUUCUGCCUAGCCAAAAGUAGUGAGAUUUAAGUGAAAUUCCUUAAGGGAUAUACUUUUUUUUAUGUUAAUUGCUUGAUCACAGACACAUAGAAUGGCUUAGUUUGGAAGGGACCUUAAAGACCAUCCAGUUCCAACCCUAUGCUAUGGACAAAGUUGAUACCCACCAGAUCAGGCUGCCCAGGGCUCAAUCCAACCUGGCCAUCCUCUGGGGAUGAGGCAUCUGUAACGUCCCUGGGCAGCCCAUGCCCAUGCCUCACCACCCUCUAAGUAAAGAGUUUCUUCUAAAUUUUCUCUUUUUUACUUUAAUGCCAUUUUGCCUUGUCCUGUCUCUAUUAGACCAUAUUGGUCCUCCUCCUGCUCAUAGGUUCCUUUCAAGUACUGGAAAACUACAACAAAGUCUCUCUGGAGCCUUCUCCAGGCUGAACAGGCUCAACUCCCUCAACCUUUCUUCAUACAUACUCCAAUCCUCUAGUCAUCUUUGUUGCCCUCCUCUGUACCUGCUCCAACAGCUUUGCAUCCUUCUUGUACUGGAGGGCCUAGACCUGCCCACAGCACUGCAGAUGGGGCCUCAUAAGGGCAGAGUAAAUCACGUCCCCCUCCCUGCUGGCCACCUUUCUUUUGAUGCAGCCCAGGAUACAGUUGGCCUUCCAGGCUUCAAAUGCACACUGCUGGCUCAUGUCCAGCUUUUCACCCACCAGAACGUGAUCUGAAAGAUGUUUUCUGUUCUUCAGAUUACCAGUGAAGUGGGUGAUGAAAUCAUGAAACAGAAAACUGAAAAUGAGCUAGAAGGACCUCUUGGCACUUAGUGGCCAGUAUUGGAAGUCAAAACGAUCCUAACAAAUUAAUGUAUUGAACCCAGCAGGAAGAAAUUUAAUACUGAAAAAUGCAAAUUAAGUUUGGGAAGAAAAAUCAAAAAGUAUGAUACUGGUAAAACUGAAUCACACCAGGAAAGAAUCUGAAGGAUGUAAUGGACCGUAAAUAUGAGUCAGCAACAUGCUACAAUUGGAAAAAAAAAUAAUAAUAAUGGAAAGGCAAUACAACCUCAUUGUGAAGCAUAUUAUUAAGUGCCCUGACCAGACAGAUUGAUUUUUCUACUACGGACUGGUGAAGCCAGCUGUGUUUGGUCUCAAACUAGAGAGAGACCAAAGGAAAACAACAUUUAGAAAGUAAGAUGUAUAAUAUUUGAAAUAACACCGUUUCUUUAGUCUGAGAAAACCUAGGAUAAAGAGUCUAUUUGUAUGGAAAAUCUUGCUGUGAGGACAAAAAUUUUAAUUAUUUUUGUAUUUAGGAUGAAGGAAAAAAAUAAUGAAGCAACUAAAUUAUCCUGGAGGUUCAAAUUCAGUGUUAGAUUGAACUUUCUACAAUAUGUAGGUAGUAGCAUUUGGAACUAGAGACCCAUUGAUAUGAAUGUGAAAUAUUUGUAAUUCAAGC
ensembl:lncRNA